CCCUUAGAUGUCCUGGGCCGCACGCGCGUUACACUGAUGCAUUCAACGAGCUUAUAACCUUGGCCGAGAGGCCUGGGCAAUCUUGUUAACGUGCAUCGUGAUAGGGAUAGAUUAUUGAAAUUAUUAAUCUUGAACGAGGAAUUCCCAGUAAACGCAGAUCAUCAAUCUGCAUUGAUUACGUCCCUGCCCUUUGUACACACCGCCCGUCGCACCUACCGAUUGGAUGGUCCGGUGAAGCCUCGGGAUUGUGGUUCUUGCCGCUUUAUUGUGGCGUGACCGCGAGAACUUGUCUAAACCUUAUCAUCUAGAGGAAGGUGAANUCGUANCA
rnacentral:rRNA from 1 species